UAACGGCGAGUGAACCGGGAAGAGCUCAAAUUUGAAAUCUGGCGUGCUCAGUGCGUCCGAGUUGUAAUCUAUAGAGUCGUUUUCCGUGCCGGACUGUGUCCAAGUCCCUUGGAACAGGGUAUCAAAGAGGGUGAUAAUCCCGUACUUGACACAAUGACCGGUGCUCUGUGAUAUGUCUUCUACGAGUCGAGUUGUUUGGGAAUGCAGCUCAAAAUGGGUGGUGAGUUCCAUCUAAAGCUAAAUAUUGGCGAGAGACCGAUAGCGAACAAGUACCGUGAGGGAAAGAUGAAAAGCACUUUGGAAAGAGAGUUAAACAGUACGUGAAAUUGUUAAAAGGGAAACGAUUGAAGUCAGUCGUGACUGAGAGGCUCAGCCGGUUCUGCCGGUGUAUUCCCCUCAGUCGGGUCAACAUCAGUUUUGUUUGGUGGAUAAGGGCAGUUGGAAGGUGGCACCCUCGGGUGUGUUAUAGCCAGCUGUCGCAUACAUCGGAUGAGACUGAGGAAUGCAGCUCGCCUUUAUGGCCGGGGUUCGCCCACGUCCGAGCU
rnacentral:rRNA from 1 species